GUAUGCGUUAGUGCGCGAGACCGCGCUUCUAUGACAACGCCGGUACACAAAGCCGGUGUGAGAAUGCGCGCUCCCGUUUUAGGAAACCGACGUUUAUUUCACUUACAGUGGCACAAAUAGCUCUGAAAAACCUUAAAGCUCUGCUUCAAGCGUAUGCAGUAAGCACACUGAGAUGGAAAAGAAGAGGGGGAACAAAAAAAGUGUCGAUUUGAAAAGGAUGUGCCCUCAACAAAAGGCCCGAUACCUAGCUUAUGCUGAGCCCUCUAAAGAGGUACAAGCCUGGAUGGCAGCUUCCCACCAACGCAUCCUCUCAAGACUUGCUCAUGAGAGAAAGAAAAUACGGGUGAAAAAUCCUCUUCGAGACCCGAAUACAAAAGUGAACCAUGACACACUUAUUGGCCAAUUAAAAGCCGCCGAAGCGAGGAACAGGAUUCGACAGAUGAGGCAGCAAUGUCAUAACUUGAAGAUGCAGGAAAUUAACCUGAUGAUUUCGAGCCAGGCUAGCGUGCAGAGUGCUGUGCGUCUAGAGCUGCUCUUGGCAAAGGAGACACAGAGGAAUAAUGGAGACAGCCUGGACCAGCUACAGGCUUGGGACCGGCACUGAGAAUGAACUCUCCACUGGCCAGGUUAGUUCCUUGCCUGGGAAUCGAACCCGGGCCACAGCAACAAGAGCACAGGAUCCCGCCGCCGGACCACCAGGAGGAUGUUUUAUCUCCAUAAUGAGGAGACGAAGAGUAGAGGAAAUUCUGGACGACGAAAAGGGCCUAACUAUAAUCAGAAGAUAAGUGAAGACAUAAAGGGGGAAAAAAUGGAACUGUAUCCACAUUUCCAAUCAAUGGAUGCACUAUGGGAUGAAGGCGAGCCGGCGGAGGCAGUGUCAUGCUUUGGACAAUGUUCUGCUGGGAAACCUUGGGUCCUGCCAUCCAUGUGGAUGUUACUUUGACACGUACCACCUACCUAAGCAUUGCUACAGACCAUCUACACCCUUUCAUGGAAACGGUAUUCCCUGAUGGCUGUGGCCUCUUUCAGCAGGAUAAUGCACCGUGCCACAAAGCAAAAAUGGUUCAGGAAUGGUUUGAUGACCACAACAGUGAGUUAGAGGUGUUGACUUGGCCUCCAAAUUCCCCAGAUCUCAAUCUAAUCCAGCAUCUGUUGGAUGUGCUGGACAAACAAGUCCCAUCCAUGGAGGCCCCACCUCACAACUUACAGGACUUAAAGGAUCUGCUGCUAACAUCUUGGUGCCAGAUCCCACAGCACACCUUCAGGGAUAAAGUGGAGUCCAUGGCUCGACAGAUCAGGGCUGUUUUAGCAGCAAAAGGGCAACCAACACAAUAUUAGGCAGGUGGUCAUAAUGUUAUGGCUGAUCAGUAUACAUGUACAUACUGUAUAUUCGAAUGACAUGUAACAUGUAUGAGCAGGUAAUUUUGUUCUAAACUGAGUUCCAGAA